rnacentral:rRNA from 1 species
GACGAACGCUGGCGGCGUGCCUAACACAUGCAAGUCGAACGAACCGCGGAGGGCUUGCUCUCCAAGGUUAGUGGCGAACGGGUGCGUAACACGUGAGGAACGUACCCACCGGUGGGGGAUAGCCGGCCCAACGGCCGGGUAAUACCGCAUGCGACAUCUCUCGGGCAUCUGAGGGGAGGGAAAGCAGCAAUGCGCCGGUGGAGCGUCUCGCGGCCUAUCAGCUUGUUGGUGAGGUAAAGGCUCACCAAGGCUACGACGGGUAGCUGGUCUGAGAGGAUGAUCAGCCACAUUGGGACUGAGACACGGCCCAG